CGAUCUUCUCUGAUCAAGAUCCAACGCUCCACAUUUUUGCACCAUCGGACGGCCACCAUCGUAGCCGGUCAAGAUCCAACCGUAAUCAAGGCAAUUGCAAGAAUCAAUAAACACUAGGACAACACGGGAUCCUUCUGCAGCACGUUCCAACGGACGAAAUCUUCCAGUGCCUUGAUCGGACGGUCCGCGAUGCAUCCGACCUGAUCCCAUCUCUGCAGCAUGAUCCAACGGCAGCGCUUCACCCAGAUCGUGAUCCGACGGCCCAGAAUCACUCCCAGCUUGAUUUAUUAGAUGAAUUGGGUCCUUUAGAU
rnacentral:lncRNA from 1 species